UUACGGCCAUAUCAUGUUGAAACAUGUUCUCGUAUGAUCACAGAAGUUAAGCAUUGAGUCUGGUCAGUACCUAAAUGGGUGACUGCUUGGGAAUAUCAGGAGCUGUAAG